CCUACGGGAGGCAGCAGUGGGGAAUAUUGCACAAUGGGGGAAACCCUGAUGCAGCGACGCCGCGUGAGCGAUGAAGUAUUUCGGUAUGUAAAGCUCUAUCAGCAGGGAAGAAGAUGACGGUACCUGACUAAGAAGCCCCGGCUAACUACGUGCCAGCAGCCGCGGUAAUACGGAGGGGGCAAGCGUUAUCCGGAUUUACUGGGUGUAAAGGGAGCGUAGACGGCGAUGCAAGACAGAUGUCAAAGCCCGGGGCUCAACCCCGGGACUGCAUGUGAAACUGUGUGGCUGGAGUGUCGGAGAGGAAGGCGGAAUUCCUGGUGUAGCGGUGAAAUGCGUAGAUAUUAGGAGGAAUACCAGUGGCGAAGGCGGCAAGCUGGACGAUGACUGACGUUGAGGCGCGAAAGCGUGGGGAGCAAACAGGAUUAGAUACCCGAGUAGUC
rnacentral:rRNA from 1 species